CACGCAUGACACACUGCAUAUCAAUAAGCGGAGGAAAAGAAACUAACUAGGAUUCCCUUAGUAACGGCGAGUGAAGCGGGAAGAGCUCAAAUUUGAAAUCUUCAAGGUUUUACCUUGACGAAUUGUAGUUUAAAGAAGUGUUUUCUGUUGGAGUUUUGGUAAAAGUUCUUUGGAAUAGGACAUCAUAGAGGGUGAGAAUCCCGUAUUUGGUCAUUCUUUCUAGCUUUGUGAUACACUUUCAACGAGUCGGAUUGUUUGGGAAUGCAGUCCAAAAUGGGUGGUAAAUUUCAUCUAAAGCUAAAUGCUGGCGAGAGGCCGAUAGCGAACAAGUACCGUGAGGGAAAGAUGAAAAGAACUUUGAAAAGAGAGUUAAACAGUACGUGAAAUUGUCAAAAGGGAAGCGUUUGACACCAGUGUUGUUUUUCCGAAAAUCAAUUACGAAUGUUUUGUUUUUGAGGAGUUAUGACUUCAUCGGCUUGCUUCUCUCUUUACGAAACUUUCUUAAUGCACUUUUCGGUUAACAAGUCAACAUCAAUUUCUUUUGUUGUAAAAGGGUAUGAGGAAGGUGGCUUUCUUUUCGGAGAAAGUGUUUAUAGCCUUGUGCCUCUGCAAUCGGAGAGAUUGAGGUCUGCAGCGUAGAUCCUUCGGGGUUAGAUACAUUUGUGCUAAGCUAUAGCCUUUCAUAGACAACUUGUUGACUAUGAUCAGUCAUGUAGCUUACUCGCUUAUGCUAUUUUACCUACGCUUAGGAUGUUGAAGACUCUACAGAGAUA
rnacentral:rRNA from 1 species